ensembl:lncRNA
CAGUGAAAUGCUGAAUACAACAGGUGUAGUAGACCUUACAGUGAAAUGCUGAAUACAACAGGUGUAGUAGACCUUACAGUGAAAUGCUGAAUACAACAGGUGUAGUAGACCUCACAGUGAAAUGCUGAAUACAACAGGUGUAGUAGACCUUACAGUGAAAUGCUGAAUACAACAGGUGUAGUAGACCUUACAGUGAAAUGCUGAAUACAACAGGUGUAGUAGACCUUACAGUGAAAUGCUGAAUACAACAGGUGUAGUAGACCUUACAGUGAAAUGCUGAAUACACCAGGUGUAGUAGACCUUACAGUGAAA